rnacentral:rRNA from 1 species
CCUACGUGAGGCAGCAGUGGGGGAUAUUGCACAAUGGGGGGAACCCUGAUGCAGCGACGCCGCGUGGGUGAAGGAGCGUUUCGGCGCGUAAAGCCCUAUCGGCAGGGAAGAAGGAGGACGGUACCUGACUAAGAAGCACCGGCUAACUACGUUCCCACAGCCGCGGUAAUACGUAGGUGGCAAGCGUUAUCCGGAUUUAAUGGGUAUACAGGGGGCGCAGACGGCAGCGCAAGCCAGGAGUGAAAGCCCGGGGCCCAACCCCGGGACUGCUCUUGGAACUGCGCGGCUGGAGUGCAGGAGGGGCAGGCGGAAUUCCUGGUGUAGCGGUGAAAGGCGUAGAUAUAAGGAGGAACACCGGUGGCGAAGGCGGCCUGCUGGACUGCGACUGACGUUGAGGCCCGAAAGCGUGGGGAGCAAACAGGAUUAGAUACCCUGGUAGUC